UACGUAGGGUGCAAGCGUUGUCCGGAAUUAUUGGGCGUAAAGAGCUCGUAGGCGGUCUGUCGCGUCUGCUGUGAAAACUCAGGGCUUAACCCUGAGCUUGCAGUGGGUACGGGCAGACUAGAGUGCGGUAGGGGGGGACUGGAAUUCCUGGUGUAGCGGUGAAAUGCGCAGAUAUCAGGAGGAACACCGGUGGCGAAGGCGGGUCUCUGGGCCGUAACUGGACGCUGAGGAGCGAAAGCAUGGGGGAGCGAACAGG
rnacentral:rRNA from 1 species